UUUUCUCUGCUUUAGAAAGUUCUUAUAUUUCCAUGACACCAGGAAUUUGUCUGUAUCCUCUGCUUGUCUCAGAUUGGCACCAGCAUUCUUGACUUAUUUUCUAAUACCUUCAAGGUUCUCCUCUACUCUUGAAGAUACUUCAAACAAAGAUCUGUCACCACUGGAGAGCUUGGAAGGCACUGUUCAGCCCUGGGUGGGAAGGCAUCACUGAGUCAGCCCUGCCAAGUAUGAAAAGUGUGCUGUCAUUAAGGCAAUGACUUCCAUGGGAAAUGACCUGAAGAAUCCCAAUAAUGAAAUUCCAUGCAGGAGUCUUGAAUGGCCCGAAAGGACCAAUCCAUUCUGGAGUCUGGAGUGAAGUCAAGUACUUCGAAAGCUUACUUUGACGUGGCUUUGAACAAAGAAGAGCAAGCCUCCACCAUUCAUUCAUGCCAGUUUACUUCAAAGGAGCUCUUCUGCCUGCUAUCGAAGGAACAAAGGGGAAAGCAAAAGAGCAGAAACACAG
rnacentral:lncRNA from 1 species